UGCCGAUCGGUUGAGUAAUGUAUCCGAACGUGCCCAGUAGCGGGGGAUAACUACGCGAAAGCGUACCUAAUACCGCAUACGCCCUACGGGGGAAAGCAGGGGAUCGCAAGACCUUGCACUAUUGGAGCGGCCGAUAUCGGAUUAGCUAGUUGGUGGGGUAACGGCUCACCAAGGCGACGAUCCGUAGCUGGUUUGAGAGGACGACCAGCCACACUGGGACUGAGACACGGCCCAGACUCCUACGGGAGGCAGCAGUGGGGAAUUUUGGACAAUGGGGGAAACCCUGAUCCAGCCAUCCCGCGUGUGCGAUGAAGGCCUUCGGGUUGUAAAGCACUUUUGGCAGGAAAGAAACGUCGCGGGUUAAUACCCCGCGAAACUGAUUUUUAUCUGCAGAAUAAGCACCGGCUAACUACGUGCCAGCAGCCGCGGUAAUACGUAGGGUGCAAGCGUUAAUCGGAAUUACUGGGCGUAAAGCGUGCGCAGGCGGUUCGGAAAGAAAGAUGUGAAAUCCCAGAGCUUAACUUUGGAACUGCAUUUUUAACUACCGGGCUAGAGUGUGUCAGAGGGAGGUGGAAUUCCGCGUGUAGCAGUGAAAUGCGUAGAUAUGCGGAGGAACACCGAUGGCGAAGGCAGCCUCCUGGGAUAACACUGACGCUCAUGCACGAAAGCGUGGGGGAGCAAACAGGAUUAGAUACCCUGGGUAGUCCACGCCCU
rnacentral:rRNA from 1 species